rnacentral:rRNA from 1 species
UACGUAGGGGGCAAGCGUUGUCCGGAAUCAUUGGGCGUAAAGAGCGUGUAGGCGGCCCGGUAAGUCCGCUGUAAAAGUCAAAGGCUCAACCUUUGAAUGUCAGUGGAUACUGCCGGGCUAGAGUCCGGAAGAGGGUCGCGGAAUUCCCGGUGUAGAGGUGAAAUUCGUAGAUAUCGGGAGGAACACCAGUGGCGAAGGCGGCGACCUGGGCCAAUACUGACGCUGAGGUGCGAAAGCGUGGGGAGCAAACAGG